rnacentral:rRNA from 1 species
UCAUGGGCGAUGGCCUGAACCAGCCAAGUAGCGUGAAGGAUGACUGCCCUAUGGGUUGUAAACUUCUUUUAUAAAGGAAUAAAGUCGGGUAUGCAUACCCGUUUGCAUGUACUUUAUGAAUAAGGAUCGGCUAACUCCGUGCCAGCAGCCGCGGUAAUACGGAGGAUCCGAGCGUUAUCCGGAUUUAUUGGGUUUAAAGGGAGCGUAGAUGGAUGUUUAAGUCAGUUGUGAAAGUUUGCGGCUCAACCGUAAAAUUGCAGUUGAUACUGGAUGUCUUGAGUGCAGUUGAGGCAGGCGGAAUUCGUGGUGUAGCGGUGAAAUGCUUAGAUAUCACGAAGAACUCCGAUUGCGAAGGCAGCCUGCUAAGCUGCAACUGACAUUGAGGCUCGAAAGUGUGGGUAUCAAACAGGUUAGAUACCCUGGUAGUCCAAGGGCGAAUUC